rnacentral:rRNA from 1 species
ACGAACGCUGGCGGCGUGCUUAACACAUGCAAGUCGCACGGAAAGGCCCUGCUUUUGUGGGGUGCUCGAGUGGCGAACGGGUGAGUAACACGUGAGUAACCUGCACUUGACUUUGGGAUAACUUCAGGAAACUGGGGCUAAUACCGGAUAGGAGCUCCUGCUGCAUGGUGGGGGUUGGAAAGUUUCGGCGGUUGGGGAUGGACUCGCGGCUUAUCAGCUUGUUGGUGGGGUAGUGGCUUACCAAGGCUUUGACGGGUAGCCGGCCUGAGAGGGUGACCGGCCACAUUGGGACUGAGAUACGGCCCAGACUCCUACGGGAGGCAGCAGUGGGGAAUAUUGCACAAUGGGCGGAAGCCUGAUGCAGCAACGCCGCGUGCGGGAUGACGGCCUUCGGGUUGUAAACCGCUUUCGCCUGUGACGAAGCGUGAGUGACGGUAAUGGGUAAAGAAGCACCGGCUAACUACGUG